UGGAGCAUGUGGAUUAAUUCGAAGCAACGCGCAGAACCUUUACCUGGGUUUGACAUGCUUGGAUGCUUGCCUGGAACAGGUUAAGUUGCCCUUCGGGUGAAACUUGCACAGGUGCUGCAUGGCUGUCGUCAGCUCGUGUCGUGAGAUGUCGGGUUAAGUCCCGCAACGAGCGCAACCCUUACCUUUAGUUGCCAGCGGAUAAUGCCGGGCACUCUAGAGGGACUGCCGGGGAUGACCCGGAGGAAGUGGGGAUGACGUCAAAUCCUCAUGCCCCUUAUGUCCCGGGCUACACACGUGCUACAAUGGCCCGUACAAAGGGCAGCGAACCAGCGAUGGGGAGCGAAUCCCAUAAAACGGGUCUCAGUUCGGAUUGCAGGCUGCAACUCGCCUGCAUGAAGUCGGAAUCGCUAGUAAUCGCAGGUCAGCAUACUGCGGUGAAUACGUUCCCGGGCCUU
rnacentral:rRNA from 1 species